UACGGAGGGGGCUAGCGUUGUUCGGAAUUACUGGGCGUAAAGGGCUCGUAGGUGGCCAACUAAGUCAGACGUGAAAUCCCUCGGCUUAACCGGGGAACUGCGUCUGAUACUGGAUGGCUUGAGUUUGGGAGAGGGAUGCGGAAUUCCAGGUGUAGCGGUGAAAUGCGUAGAUAUGACAUAGAACACCAAUUGCGAAGGCAGCUUACUACGGGAAUAUUGACACUGAGGCACGAAAGCGUGGGGAUCAAACAGG
rnacentral:rRNA from 1 species